rnacentral:rRNA from 1 species
ACGGCGAGUGAAGCGGGAAGAGCUCAAAUUUGAAAUCUGGUGGCCUCAGGUCAUCCGAGUUGUAAUCUAUAGAAGUGUUUUCCGUGCUGGCUCAUGUACAAGUCCCUUGGAACAGGGCGUCAUAGAGGGUGAGAAUCCCGUCCUUGACAUGAACUACCAGUGCUCUGUGAUACAUUUUCAACGAGUCGAGUUGUUUGGGAAUGCAGCUCAAAAUGGGUGGUAAAUUCCAUCUAAAGCUAAAUAUUGGCGAGAGACCGAUAGCGAACAAGUACCGUGAGGGAAAGAUGAAAAGCACUUUGGAAAGAGAGUUAAACAGUAUGUGAAAUUGUUGAAAGGGAAACGAUUGAAGUCAGUCGUGCUCUUUGGAUUCAGCCGGUUCUGCCGGUGUACUUCCUUUGAGUGGGGUCAACAUCAGUUUUGAUCGCUGGAUAAAGGCUGGAGGAACGUAGUACCCUCGGGUAAACUUAUAGCCUCCUGUCACAUACAGUGGUUGGGACUGAGGAACGCAGCACGCCUUUAUGGCCGGGAUUCGUCCACGUACGUG